UCUUUUAGUGUAAUAAAAUUCUUUUUAAGGGCCGGGGAUGUAGCUCAGUGGUUCUGCCACCUGCCUUGCAAGCAGAAAGUCCCAAGUUGGAGCGGUACCAAAAAAAAAAAGAAAAUUCUUUUUAAAAAUUUAAACAUUCACUUUAUCUGUUGGGCUCACCUGGCACAUUCAACAAAUAAUGUGCUGAUCUUGUACUCAUCCUCCUCGUCCUUUUCCACGCUGGGAUCCAACCGGCCCCCGGACACGCAGAGCGCAGGCGCUGUGGCUGAGCCCUGCCACCAUCCUUUCUUAAUGUCCUCCUUGUCAGAGUUAGAACAGGACUUCGCCAGAAAUGGCUCAGCCUGACACCCAACAGCCCACACACAGCCCACGAGAGGGAAGAACCUGCUCCAGAUGUUCACUCAUGCUGACUCUGAGGGAACUCUCUAGGGUGUGUACAGCCUAGGGGAUCAGGACAUCAUACCCCAGAGUAUUUGGAUUUGGCAGGCUGAGCAGUCUGAGCUAAAGGAUUUCAUUCAUUCAUUCUUUUUUUUUUGGUACCGGGGAUUGAACUCGGGACCUUGAGCUUUCGAGGCAGGCGGCGGAAGCACUGAGCUAAAUCCCCGGCCUUGUAUUUGCUUUUUUAAUGGAAUGAUUAAAAAAAGUACAGAAGUAAUAUACGCAUUUAAGCUAUAUUUAGCACACGUAUUUAUAAAGCAGGACAUAUUUCUCAGCUCCCCAGAGGCAGCCAUUAAAGUUUGUCUUUUUUUUUUUCUUUUCCGUCAGGGUUGGAUCGAGGCUUUGCACACUGUGUGCCACCCUGAGCCUCACCCCGACUCCCAGGGCUCGUGUUUGUGCAGGUGGCCGUGAUGAUUGUUUUUCCUGUGUGUGUCCUUAAACACCUCGUGUCAAUAUUUUUUAUUUGCUUUUUUUUUUUUCUGUACCGGGGAUUGAACUCAGGACCUCGUGCUUGCCAGAUGGAUGAAGGAGCACUAUGCAGCCAUAAAGAAGAGAAUCCUGUCUGCAGGAAAAUGGAUGAAACUGGAGGCCAUCGUGUGGAGUGGGAUAAACCGGACUCAUUCAGAUCUCAGGGGUUAUCUGUCAUAGGGAAUCUAGGGGGAAAAGGGGGGCAUGGGUGUGGCCAGACUUAGAGAAGAGGGGCUGGGACAGGGGAAAUGAUCAAAGUGUGUUACCUGCAUGUAUGGAUAUGCCGAAAUGAACCCACUGGUCUGUAUAAAUAAAAGGCAGUAAUUAAAAAAACUUGCAUUAGUAAAAAGCACCCCCCCCCAAAAAAAACCCUGCCAUAAUAGAAUGCAACUAUUCAUAGCCACCUUGCGGUGAUUUCACUAAGUCGCUAAAUUGCCCAGGCCAUGAUCCAACUUGCCGUCCUCCUGCCUAUCUCCCAGAGUGCAGCGAUUGGAGGUGUGUGCCACUGCCCCUGGCUAUCAGCAACUGUUAAUGAUUUUUUUGAGACAGGUUCUCGCUAUGUGUCCUCGAACUCAGGGCGAUCCUCCUGCCUCAGCCUCCCAAAUGCUGGGAUCACAGGCGUGCA
rnacentral:lncRNA from 1 species